GGUAAAGACAUUCUGGUUAAAACUAAUGGUAGCAAGAAUGUAACUCAAGAUCGAUACAGUAUAGAAGACAACAGAGAUGGAGUCUUCUAUGUGACCAUCAAGAACCUGAUGAAGACAGACUCUGGGACCUACUGGUGUGGAGUGGAGAGAUAUGGCCUAGACUCAUACCAAGAGGUGCAUCUCACAGUUACAGAUGCUCCUCCCACUUCUACAACCUCACCUGUCACCUCCCGACGCCAUGUCUCCACAUCCCUUCUAAACCUCUCUACAACCCUCCCAAACCUCUCUACAACAUCCUCUAACCUCUCCACAACCCUCCCAAACCUCUCUCCAACAUCCCCAAACACCUCCUCAACCCUCCCAAACCACAUCAGUGGUCACCUAUCAAGAGCUGGUAUGAUGAAUCUCUCAUCUUAGACAUUACAAUUAAUAUGUUGUGAUAUGAAAUGCUGUAAUGCUGGAUGAAAAUCAAUUGUUCCUGUUCAAUCAUUGGACAAAUGUCACUACUUCUCUCUCGCUUUCUCUUUUUACUCAAUCUCUCUCUAUCUCUCUUUGUUUUCACUCAAUCUCUCUCUAUCUCUCUGACACCCCACCUCUCUGUCUGUUUCUCUCUCUCUCGUUCUUUUUUCACUCCCUGUCUCUUUCUCUGUCCCUCUCUCUCCCUCUCAUCUAGAUUCUCCUCAAUAGGAAUACUCUCUUGCAGGACAGAGUGCUGUUAAGUUUCAUGUAUACUGAUUUCAGUGGUGCCUAAUAUAUAAUGGUGUUCUAUUAUGUUGUAGCAGGGACUAUGUUGUCAUGGGGAUGCAGGAAGUGAUGCAACAUUUGACGUUUUGGGAAAAGCAGCUGCUGACACCAUGGUUACUAUGGUCACUAUCUUACUCAGUCUCUUCCUUUAUAUUUAUCAUCCCAUAACUAGCAAGAUAGUGAAGUCUCUUCCUUUAUAUUUAUCAUCCCAUAACUAGCAAGAUAGUGAAGUCUCUUCCUUUAUAUUUAUCAUCCCAUAACUAGCAAGAUAGUGAAGUCUCUUCCUUUAUAUUUAUCAUCCCAUAACUAGCAAGAUAGUGAAGUCUCUUCCUUUAUAUUUGUCAUCCCAUAACUAGCAAGAUAGUGAAGUCUCUUCCUUUAUAUUUGUCAUCCCAUAACUAGCAAGAUAGUGAAGUCUCUUCCUUUAUAUUUAUCAUCCCAUAACUAGCAAGAUAGUGAAGUCUCUUCCUUUAUAUUUAUCAUCCCAUAACUAGCAAGAUAGUGAAGUCUCUUCCUUUAUAUUUGUCAUCCCAUAACUAGCAAGAUAGUGAAGUUUCUUCCUUUAUAUUUAUCAUCCCAUAACUAGCAAGAUAGUGAAGUCUCUUCCUUUAUAUCUGUCAUCCCAUAACUAGCAAGAUAGUGAAGUCUCUUCCUUUAUAUUUAUCAUCCCAUAACUAGCAAGAUAGUGAAGUCUCUUCCUUUUUCACACCUUUAUUUUCACUGCUCCGUCUGUCUGUCUUCUUGCCUGUUGGUCUGUCUGUCUUCUUGCCUGUCUGUCUGUCUUUCUGUCUGUCUGCCUUCUUGUCUGUCUGUCUGUCUGUCUGUCUGUCUGUCUGUCUGUCUGUCUGUCUGUCUGUCUGUCUGUCUGUCUGUCUGUCUGUCUUUCUGUCUGUCUGUCUGUCUGUCUGCCUUCUUGUCUGUCUGUCUGUCUGUCUGUCUGUCUGUCUGUCUGUCUGUCUGUCUGUCUGUCUGUCUGUCUGUCUGUCUGUCUGUCUUUCUGUCUGUCUGCCUUCUUGCCUGUCUGUCUGUCUUCAUGCCUAUCUUUCUGUCUGUCUGCCUUCUUGCCUGUCUUUCUGUCUUCCUGCCUUACUGAAAAACCAACUGAUCGAAUGAACGUUGUAAUUCAUGUUAUCUAUAAUCUAUACAGUCCUGUCUGUCUGUAGGACCAUACAACUGACUACCAUCCAAUCUAUCUUAUCUUAUUGACUGAUCUAUCCACCAGUCUACCAUCCAACCGACCAAAUGACAGUUGUAUCCAUCUAUGAUAUUUAUAGUCUGGAAAGCAUCGGGUUUGCAAAAAUCUGGUUAUUUUAGCAAACUGACCUGCUUUGUUCAACCCUCAUAAAGUCUCUCCUCCUGUCUGUGGUCAGGUCUGAUGGUAUCUAUGAUAUAUACAGUACUCUGUAAAGUCUCUCCUCCUGUCUGUGGUCAGGUCUGAUGGUGGUGUGGACCAGUGUUGGUCUGGUAGUCAUGGUGACAGUGUUAGGUCUGGUCCUGCUCCUGUUCUACAGACAGAGGAGAGGAACCAGGGGAACACCACCAGUCUCCUCCAACACACAACCUGACCCUGCUGGAGAGGUUGUCUGUGUGUACGAGGAGAUCAGAGACAGACAGACAGACACACUUCCUGUGGUCAUCUCUUCAGUCUACUCUACUGUCAAAUCACCUACCAACUCUACAAUCUACCCUACUGGUCAUUCCUCUACAACCUGCCCUGCUGGCCAAGCCUCUACAACCUACCCUGCUGGCCAAGCCUCUACAAUCUACCCUGCUGGCCAAGCCUCUCUAACCUACCCUGCUGGCCAAGCCUCUACAACCUACCCUGCUGGCCAAGCCUCUACAACCUACCCUGCUGGCCAAGCCUCUACAACCUACCCUGCUGGCCAAGCCUCUACAACCUACCCUGCUGGCCAAGCCUCUACAACCUACCCUGCUGGCCAAGCCUCUACAACCUACCCUGCUGGCCAAGCCUCUACAACCUACCCUGCUGGCCAAGCCUCUACAACCUACCCUGCUGGCCAAGCCUCUACAA